GUGUGACUGCGUACCUUUUGUAUAAUGGGUCAGCGACUUAUAUUCUGUAGCAAGGUUAACCGAAUAGGGGAGCCGAAGGGAAACCGAGUCUUAACUGGGCGUUAAGUUGCAGGGUAUAGACCCGAAACCCGGUGAUCUAGCCAUGGGCAGGUUGAAGGUUGGGUAACACUAACUGGAGGACCGAACCGACUAAUGUUGAAAAAUUAGCGGAUGACUUGUGGCUGGGGGUGAAAGGCCAAUCAAACCGGGAGAUAGCUGGUUCUCCCCGAAAGCUAUUUAGGUAGCGCCUCGUGAAUUCAUCUCCGGGGGUAGAGCACUGUUUCGGCAAGGGGGUCAUCCCGACUUACCAACCCGAUGCAAACUGCGAAUACCGGAGAAUGUUAUCACGGGAGACACACGGCGGGUGCUAACGUCCGUCGUGAAGAGGGAAACAACCCAGACCGCCAGCUAAGGUCCCAAAGUCAUGGUUAAGUGGGAAACGAUGUGGGAAGGCCCAGACAGCCAGGAUGUUGGCUUAGAAGCAGCCAUCAUUUAAAGAAAGCGUAAUAGCUCACUGGUCGAGUCGGCCUGCGCGGAAGAUGUAACGGGGCUAAACCAUGCAC
rnacentral:rRNA from 1 species